UCGGCUGACUCUGGAGAGCGGUGAUCUGUGAUCACCCACCGAAGGGGCUUAACUCUCAGGUUAUAGGACAGAGGGGCGGCG
rnacentral:ncRNA from 1 species